rnacentral:rRNA from 1 species
AAACAGAUGCUAAUACCGCAUAACAACUUGGACCGCAUGGUCCGAGCUUGAAAGAUGGCUUCGGCUAUCACUUUUGGAUGGUCCCGCGGCGUAUUAGCUAGAUGGUGGGGUAACGGCUCACCAUGGCAAUGAUACGUAGCCGACCUGAGAGGGUAAUCGGCCACAUUGGGACUGAGACACGGCCCAAACUCCUACGGGAGGCAGCAGUAGGGAAUCUUCCACAAUGGACGAAAGUCUGAUGGAGCAACGCCGCGUGAGUGAAGAAGGGUUUCGGCUCGUAAAACUCUGUUGUUAAAGAAGAACAUAUCUGAGAGUAACUGUUCAGGUAUUGACGGUAUUUAACCAGAAAGCCACGGCUAACUACGUGCCAGCAGCCGCGGUAAUACGUAGGUGGCAAGCGUUGUCCGGAUUUAUUGGGCGUAAAGCGAGCGCAGGCGGUUUUUUAAGUCUGAUGUGAAAGCCUUCGGCUCAACCGAAGAAGUGCAUCGGAAACUGGGAAACUUGAG